UUCCUGGUGGUCCAGUGGUUAGGACUCGGCGCUUUCAGUACCGUGGUGCAGGUUCGAUCUGUGCUCAGGAAA
rnacentral:tRNA from 1 species